UGGUUCUGGCAUCGAUGAAGAACGCAGCGAAUUGCGAUAAGUAAUGUGAAUUGCAGAAUUCAGUGAAUCAUCGAAUCUUUGAACGCACAUUGCGCCCUGUGGUAUUCCGCGGGGCAUGCCUGUUCGAGCGUCAUUAUACCCAUCAAGCCUAGCUUGGUAUUGGAGCUUGCAACUUAGCAUCUCUCAAACACCUCAGCAGUCUGAUAUAGACCCUAAGUGCAGUAAAUCUCCUCACUUUUGGCCUCUGUAGAAGCUGUCCUUCUAUAAUUUUUAAGGUUGACCUCGGAUCAGGUAGGGAUACCCGCUGA
rnacentral:misc_RNA from 1 species